AGAGUUUGGAUCCUGGCUCAGAAUCAACGCUGGCGGCGUGCCUCAGACAUGUAAGUCGAACGAUUAAAGCUCUCUUCGGAGAGUGUAUAAAGUGGCGCACGGGUGAGUAACACGUAGGUAAUCUACCUUUGAGUGGGGAAUAACAGUCGGAAACGACUGCUAAUACCGCAUAAUGCAGCGGCAUCUAUGAUGACAGUUGUUAAAGGAGCAAUCCGCUUAAAGAGGAGCCUGCGGCAGAUUAGCUAGUUGGUAAGGUAAUGGCUUACCAAGGCUACGAUCUGUAACCGACCUGAGAGGGUGGUCGGUCACACUGACACUGAAUAACGGGUCAGACUCCUACGGGAGGCAGCAGUCGGGAAUUUUGGGCAAUGGGCGAAAGCCUGACCCAGCAACGCCGCGUGAAGGAUGAAGUUUUUCGGAAUGUAAACUUCGUAAAAAUAGGAAGAAUAAAUGACGGUACUAUUUGUAAGGUCCGGCUAACUACGUGCCAGCAGCCGCGGUAAUACGUAGGGACCAAGCGUUGUUCGGAUUUACUGGGCGUAAAGGGCGCGUAGGCGGCAAUUCAAGUCAUCUGUGAAAUCUCCGGGCUUAACUCGGAACGGUCAGAUGAUACUGUUUGCUAGAGUACAGAAGGGGCAAUCGGAAUUCUUGGUGUAGCGGUGA
rnacentral:rRNA from 1 species